GGAAAGCUUCCUGCCAAAGCUGCCCUGAGAAUCUGGGAUGGAGGUGUGGCCAUGUGGUCUGGGUCCCCUGGGACUAUACAUGUUAGUGUAUUUUAUGAGUGGUCCAAGACAAUUCUUCUUCCAAUGUGGCUCAGGGAAGCCAAAAGACUGGACACCCCUGAUUUAGAACAAUAAUAUAUUCAAGAUGUUCCCGCUACAAAUUUUUUAAUUCAACAAAUGGAUAAAAAUGUAACAAAUGGAUAAAAACCUAAAACUGAAGUAUCAACUGUAAACCCAAGUCUGACCUCUGAAAACAGGGAAUAAAGGGGCUGGGCACGGUGGCUCAUGCCUGUAAUCCCAGCACUCUGGGAAGCCGAGGCAGUUGAAUCACCUGAGGUCAGGAGUUCAAGACCAGCCUGCUCAACAUGAUGAAACCCCAUCUUUACAAAGCUACAAAAAAAUGUGCCAGGCAUGGUUGCGCACACUUGUAAUCCCAGCUACUCUGGAGGCUGAAGCAAGAGAAUUGCUGGAACCCAGGAGGCAGAGGUUACAGUGAACCAAGAUCACACCACUGCACUCCAGCCUGGGCAAGAGAGAGAGACUCCGUCUCAAAAAAAUAAAUAAAUAAAUAAAUAAAUAAAUAAAUAAAAUUAAAAUAAAAAAAUAGGUUAUAUGAAAACCUAUGACAUAAGAAAAUAACAGAACAGAUCCAUGUGAGACAGGAAGUGAGGGCAGCCAAGACUCCGGAUUAACCUAUGCAAUACUGUGGUUUGGCCACAGCACAUGUUUUAUUUGGAUCCAGAUUCGUAGUUGUGACUGAAAUUACCUCUUAUUUUCAAAGACAUCCAUCAGCAAAGAAGUCUAUAAAAAGUUAAGCCGGGGCCGGGUGCAAUGGCUCAUGCCUGUAAUCCCAGCACUUUGGGAGGCCAAGGCAGGUGGAUUGCCUGAGGUCAGGAGUUCGAGACCAGGUUGGCCCACAUGGUGAAACCCCAUCUCUACUAAAAAUACAAAAAUUAGCCGGGUGUGGUGGCGUGUGCCUGUAGUCCCAGCUACUCGGGAGGCUGAGGCAGAAGAAUGGCUUGAUCCCGGGAGGCGGAGGUUGCAGUGAGCUGAGAUGACACCACUGCACUCCAGCCUGGGCAACAGAGCCAGAUUUUAUCUUUAAAAAAAAAAAAAAAAAAAAAAAAAAAAAAAAAAAAAGAAACUGGUACACUUGCACAACACAUGCAGACACGAUUG
rnacentral:lncRNA from 1 species